GUGAAGAACGCAGCAAAAUGCGAUAAGUAAUGUGAAUUGCAGAAUUCAGUGAAUCAUCGAAUCUUUGAACGCACAUUGCGCCCGCCAGUAUUCUGGCGGGCAUGCCUGUUCGAGCGUCAUUUCAACCCUCAAGCCCUCGGGUUUGGUGUUGGGGAUCGGCGAGCCUUUCUGGCAAGCCGGCCCCGAAAUCUAGUGGCGGUCUCGCUGCAGCCUCCAUUGCGUAGUAGUAAAACCCUCGCAACUGGAACGCGGCGCGGCCAAGCCGUUAAACCCCCAACUUCUGAAUGUUGACCUCGGAUCAGGUAGGAAUACCCGCUGAACUUAAGCAUAUCAAUAAGCGGAGGA
rnacentral:misc_RNA from 1 species